rnacentral:rRNA from 1 species
GGCGAACGCUGGCGGCGUGCCUAAUACAUGCAAGUUGAGCGCUGAAGGCUGGUACUUGUACCAACUGGAUGAGCAGCGAACGGGUGAGUAACGCGUGGGGAAUCUGCCUUUGAGCGGGGGACAACAUUUGGAAACGAAUGCUAAUACCGCAUAAAAACUUUAAACACAAGUUUUAAGUUUGAAAGAUGCAAUUGCAUCACUCAAAGAUGAUCCCGCGUUGUAUUAGCUAGUUGGUGAGGUAAAGGCUCACCAAGGCGAUGAUACAUAGCCGACCUGAGAGGGUGAUCGGCCACAUUGGGACUGAGACACGGCCCAAACUCCUACGGGAGGCAGCAGUAGGGAAUCUUCGGCAAUGGACGAAAGUCUGACCGAGCAACGCCGCGUGAGUGAAGAAGGUUUUCGGAUCGUAAAACUCUGUUGGUAGAGAAGAACGUUGGUGAGAGUGGAAAGCUCAUCAAGUGACGGUAACUACCCAGAAAGGGACGGCUAACUACGUG